rnacentral:rRNA from 1 species
GACGUAGGGCGCGAGCGUUGUCCGGAUUUAUUGGGCGUAAAGAGCUCGUAGGCGGUCUGUUGCGUCCGCUGUGAAAACCCGGGGCUUAACCCCUGGCUUGCAGUGGAUACGGACAGACUAGAGGUAGGUAGGGGAGAAUGGAAUUCCCGGUGUAGCGGUGAAAUGCGCAGAUAUCGGGAGGAACACCGGUGGCGAAGGCGGGUCUCUGGGCCGAUACUGACGCUGAGGAGCGAAAGCGUGGGGAGCGAACAGG